AGUGAACGCUGGCGGUAGGCCUAACACAUGCAAGUCGAACGGCAGCACAGUAAGAGCUUGCUCUUACGGGUGGCGAGUGGCGGACGGGGGUGGAAUACAUCGUAAUCUAUUUUUUCGUGGGGGAUAACGUAGGGAAACUUACGCUAAUACCGCAUACGACCUACGGGUGAAAGCAGGGGAUCUUCGUACCUUGCUCGAUCGAAUGAGCCGAUGUCGGAUUAGCUAGUUGGCGGGGUAAAGGCCCACCAAGGCGACGAUCCGUAGCUGGUCUGAGAGGGUGAUCAGCCACCCUGGAACUGAGACACGGUACAGACUCUGACGGGAGGCAGCAGUGGGGAAUAUUGGACAAUGGGGGAAAGCCUGAUCCAGCCAUACCGCGUGGGUGAAGAAGGACUUCGGGUUGUAAAGCCCUUUUGUUGGGAAAGAAAAGCAGCAGGUUAAUAACCCGCUGUUCUGACGGUACCCAAAGAAUAAGCACCGGCUAACUUCGUG
rnacentral:rRNA from 1 species